CUCCCUUUAUCCUGCUCUCUGGCUCUGAGUACAGAUUUAAAACCCAGAGCCCGAGAGAGGCAUCACAUGUGUAAAUGCCUCUAUAUACCUUUCUGUCUGCAUUGCCUGUGACUCUGAUCGCCUCUUUUGCGGUCUGUGUUUCAGGAGAACUGGAUUCAGAGGACGUGAAAAUUAACCUGGUUUUGCCGUGUUCCUGGGCACCUGCCUCCAUGCACACCUGAGUUCAGGAGCCAUGUCCCUCCACUAGAGGGCGGGCAUCGUAGACGCCUGCUACGCCACCUGGGCUGUCGCGUGUGUUCCGGCCUCAGCCCUGGAGAAGGGCCAACGCCAACCAGCCCACAAGCAGCAGAGAACAGCAACUCCGCCAGGCAGACUCCAAGACGGUUCAGAAAAAUAAAGAGGCAAACGUGGCAGGUCAGGAGGUCCUUGGCUCUUCUCUCGUUGGACUCGAAUUCGCUGUGUUGAAACAUACGUAGUCUCUGAGUUUCCUUCCUCACUUCCUCCAAGAAGGCCUUGGCGGGGAGGUAGCAUGGCGCUCCAUGUGGCAGAAAGGCGAGAGAGCCGCUGGCCAGCAAGUGUAAUCCCUCUGGAAAGCAUUCAGAAUACUCGUGCGUUCUGUACUUUUCCCCCAAGUAAAUAAGGUGGAAAAGCAUCAGAAAAGUCAAAGUUUUCCUCAGGAAUCCAGACCACGGGGAGAAAAAUGACAAGUUGUCGUGGCUCACCCUUGCGAGCCACGAGUCUCUCCACGAACCCAGCGUAGCACCAGUGCCUACAGAGGAAGGGACACCUUCGUAUCUGAGCUUGGCUGCCACACUGAGUAGAACCAGAGGAGCUGCCAAAAAAAACGGCCACUUUGAAAUCUAGUGAAAGCAGCUAAGUCAACAAAGGAACAACAGGAUCCCAGGUUGCAAAACAAGUUGGAAAAACUUUUCCAAGUGCUGUCUUGGUGACCGCGUGACACAGAUCCUUUGCUUUGCCUCCAGAAGCAUUUAGCUCAGGGUUGCUUCUCGAAUUAACCUACAGGCAGAGGAACGUGCUCUUAGGGUGAAACUCCAUUGUUGCUGCUGCUUUCCGCAGAG
rnacentral:lncRNA from 1 species